GCACAUAUUAAUAUUAAAGAUAUCUGUUUUAUUUUUGCUGAUAUCUGUUAACGAUGUCCUGGACUUUUAACUUUAUUGUCCGAUCAGGCUGCCUGUUAAAUGUGCAAUUUAGUUAUUAAACAAGACAGAUUCCUUUCCACGCCCCUAACGAUAGAUAGAUUGAAGGCUAAAUUCUCUAGGAAUUAGCCUUUAUAUUUUUGAAUGAACGAGACGCGAAAUUGGUGCCACAGACAAAUGGACUCAUCGUUAAUAUGUAUUUGAGCGUGGUCUAAAAGGCUGGGGCACGUUGAUUACGCUGCACCUGCAGAGAUGGAGAGAAACGUGAUUUCCAAGAAGAAGGGGGUGAGGAAGAGGGACUCGCUGCAGAGGCGGAAGAAUUUCUUUUUGUUUCCCCUUUUGGUGGUGAAUGACGUCAGUGUGCUGAGUCACGCGGGCGCGCUCCCGCGGCCCGAGCAAUGGUGUACAACCUUUUAUCCGGAGUUCCGGAAACCGAAAAGCUCCGAAAACCGGACAUUUUUUCCAGGAUGUCGUCUGCACACCAAAGCUCGCGUUUGGCGCCAAACUUGACCCGAAACGACCCACGGUCAACCCAGGAAGCAGUUGAAUGAAUGAUGAGAAAGUAUACACCUGCUCCAGUCCCCUACUGAGAUCCAGUUAAUUAUAGUAAUUCAGUAUGGAAACAGGCCUUCAGCUCAACUUGCCAAUACCAACUGAUGUGCGAGGUCUACAAAAUUGGAGCUAAACCUGCUCCAUUACCAACUGCAUCAACCUCAUCAAGAUAUGUAUAAAUGAAGACGUACCGAGAGAUUUUAGAGACUCACCAAUCUACAAAAGGAAAGGCGUUCGAUCUGACUGCGGAAACUAUCGUGGAAUUUCCCUAUUAGCAACAGCAGGCAAAGUCCUCGCUCGUAUCAUGAACAUCCGACUCAAGCCUUUAGCCGAGAAGAUCCUUCCAGAGACACAAGCGGUUUUAGACCAUCAAAUGGAACAGCCGACAUGAUCUUCACAAUGCGUCAACUACAAGAAAAAUGUUGUGAACAACUUCAACCUUUGUACAUGGCAUUAAUCGACCUCACUGAGGCCUUCGACUCGGUAUAAAGGGAACUCUUAUGGGACGUCCUAUCUACCUUUGGAUGUCCUGAAAAGUACAUUUGUAUCCUGAGACUCCUCCACGAUGACAUGCUUGACACAGUCAUGGCCAGCAACAGCAACUGUGAGCCGUUUCAAGUCAGGUCAGGAGUGAAACAGGGAUGUGUGAUUGCCCAACACUGUUCACCAUCUUCUUUGCGACAACCAUCCACAUCAUCCAGGAUGACCUACCCCCAGGAAUUUAAAUUGUCUACAGAACAGAUGGCAGACUUUUCAAUCUUGCCCAUCUCAAAUCCAAAACUAAGACAUCUAUGAGCUCGAGUUCCAAUAAGCAGACGACAACUGUGUUGCAGCUCUCUCCGAAAAUCAUCUGCAACAGAUUCUGACUGCCUUCAACGGUGCAUACAGGAAACUUGGACUUACCAUCAACUCCAAGAAGACUCAGGUUAUCUACCAAUUGCCACCAACUGAGACAAAUCGGAAAGAACCGUCAAUUCAACUUGGUGAAACAACCCUGGAAAAUGUGGAUCACUUUCCGUAACUUGGUCAACUCUCCUCCAAUGUCGACCUUGAUGACGAGACCCAACAUCGUCUUAAGUGUGCUGGAACAGCUUUUCGACGUCUUCGAACGAGUCUUUCAAAAUUGUGGUAUCCGAAUAGACACCAAAAUGUUAGUGUACAAGGCAGUGGUGAUUCCAAUGCUCCUGAAUGCAUCAGAAACCUGGACAUCAUACCGACACCAUCUGAAAACACUUGAAAAGUUCCAUCAACGAUGUCUUCGAAGCAGCUUAAAUAUCAGUUGGGAAGACCGAAGAACUAACGUCAGCAUGCUGAAUGAAGCAAAAACAUCUAGCAUCAAAGCCUUUGCCAUCAAGAACCAACUAAGAUGGGUCAGUCAUGUUGUUCUGAUGGAAGACGAGCUCUACCAAAACAAACCUUCUACUCCCAGCUUAAAGAUGGCAA